rnacentral:rRNA from 1 species
ACACUUUACAAUGCGGGAAACCGCGAUAAGGGAACCCCGAGUGCCAGCAUCAAAUGUUGGCUGUCCAGAUGAUUAAAAAUCAUUUGUUAGCAAGGGCCGGGCAAGACCGGUGCCAGCCGCCGCGGUAACACCGGCGGCCCGAGUGGUAGCCGUUUUUAUUGGGUCUAAAGGGUCCGUAGCCGGCCUGAUAAGUCCUUUGGGAAAUCUGGCAGCUUAACUGUCAGGCUUCUAAGGGAUACUGUCAGGCUUGGGACCGGAAGAGGUAAGGGGUACUCCAGGGGUAGGGGUGAAAUCUUGUAAUCCCUGGGGGACCAUCUGUGGCGAAGGCGCCUUACCAGAACGGGUCCGACGGUGAGGGACGAAAGCUAGGGGAGCAAACCGGAUUAGAUACCCGGGUAGUCCUAGCUGUAAACGAUGCUCGCUAGGUGUCAGACACGGUGCGACCGUGUUUGGUGCCGCAGGGAAGCCGUUAAGCGAGCCACCUGGAAGUACGUCGCAAGGC